AAGAAGAAAAUCGGCUAAGGAAAAAAAUAGGGAGAAAAUUAAAAUCUUGCUCCAAAAAAUAUUUUCUCCUAGUAUUCCUACUAAUUCAAGGAUCCUCUACAACAUGAUGAAGUUAUUUUGGAAGAUAGGAGCCUUGUUUGGUUAAUUGGGUGUCUUGGUGAAGUGAAGAAGUUGAAAGGAAAAGAUUUUGGAGGAAACGGGAAUUGAACUUGGACAACCGUAAAAGGCCAAAAAGUUUCUCACUACUCCACUCGUGGAUGCCUCAAUGCUUCUUUCACUGAGCCUGAGCCAGGAUAUGUUUUCGUGCGUAUUUCUCUGCAUUGUUCGCCGUGUCCCGACGUGAGGGGGAAGGUAUGACAUGUACAUGGGGUGGUAAAUGUUAUGCCACGGAGUUAUGCUGUGCCAUGUACAUAUAUGUUUGUGAUAUGAUAUGAUUUGAUAUGACCAUCUGAUAUGAUAUGAUUUGUUACGGAGAUAUUCCCUACUCUGGUGUUAUGCUGUGCCGUGGUGCCGCUGAUGGGAGGGCAACCACACUUUGUUCACCGAGUCCCAUGACAUGGGGCCGGAUAUGGCAUAUGUAUUUGCAUAUAUGAUUUGGGAUUAUGAUAAGUAUUUUGAAAUUCUGAACAUUUAUUUUGUUUUCUGCACAUACUAUUCCGAUUAUGAUUUUAAUUUAUUACAAUUCAUGCUUUACAUAUUCAGUACAUUUUUCGUACUGACCCCUUUUCUUCGGGGGGGCUGCGUUACAUGCCCGCAGGUACCGACGUUCGUUUUGCUGAGCCGCCUGUUUAGGACAUCUGCUGUGUUAUUGACAGUGCUCCCUUGUUCGGAGCUUGUAUUUUGGUAUUGACUCUAUCUCUGUAUAUUUGGAUAUGUUGGUCAGGGGUACGACGGGGCCCUGUCCCGUCUUAUGACUAUGCUAUCAUCUGUAGAGGUCUGUAGACAGAUUUAUGUUGUGGGUUUUGUAUAUAUGGUUUGGGUUUUGUGUGUUUUGUGACGGCCUAUCAGCCCUCGUGCCUACAUCUAUUUUUUUUGA